UACCGAGUGAGGGCCCUCUGGGUCCAACCUCCCACCCGUGUCUAUCGUACCUUGUUGCUUCGGCGGGCCCGCCGUUUCGACGGCCGCCGGGGAGGCCUUGCGCCCCCGGGCCCGCGCCCGCCGAAGACCCCAACAUGAACGCUGUUCUGAAAGUAUGCAGUCUGAGUUGAUUAUCGUAAUCAGUUAAAACUUUCAACAACGGAUCUCUUGGUUCCGGCAUCGAUGAAGAACGCAGCGAAAUGCGAUAAGUAAUGUGAAUUGCAGAAUUCAGUGAAUCAUCGAGUCUUUGAACGCACAUUGCGCCCCCUGGUAUUCCGGGGGGCAUGCCUGUCCGAGCGUCAUUGCUGCCCUCAAGCACGGCUUGUGUGUUGGGCCCCCGUCCCCCUCUCCCGGGGGACGGGCCCGAAAGGCAGCGGCGGCACCGCGUCCGGUCCUCGAGCGUAUGGGGCUUUGUCACCUGCUCUGUAGGCCCGGCCGGCGCCAGCCGACACCCAACUUUAUUUUUCUAAGGUUGACCUCGGAUCAGGUAGGGAUACCCGCUGAACUUAAGCAUA
rnacentral:rRNA from 1 species